rnacentral:rRNA from 1 species
GACGAACGCUGGCGGCGUGCUUAACACAUGCAAGUCGAACGGAAAGGCCCUGCUUUUGUGGGGUGCUCGAGUGGCGAACGGGUGAGUAACACGUGAGUAACCUGCCCUUGACUUUGGGAUAACUUCAGGAAACUGGGGCUAAUACCGGAUAGGAGCUCCUGCUGCAUGGUGGGGGUUGGAAAGUUUCGGCGGUUGGGGAUGGACUCGCGGCUUAUCAGCUUGUUGGUGGGGUAGUGGCUUACCAAGGCUUUGACGGGUAGCCGGCCUGAGAGGGUGACCGGCCACAUUGGGACUGAGAUACGGCCCAGACUCCUACGGGGGGCAGCAGUGGGGAAUAUUGCACAAUGGGCGGAAGCCUGAUGCAGCAACGCCGGGGGCGGGAUGACGGCCUUCGGGGUGUAAACCGCUUUCGCCUGUGACAAAGCGUGAGUGACGGUAAUGGGUAAAGAAGCACCGGCUAACUACGUG